GAUAGUAUCUCAUAAUUAUGAGAUAGUAUCUCAUAAUUAUGACUUAGCUAUCUCAUUAUUAUGACUUAGUAUCUCAUAAUUAUGAGAUAGUAUCUCAUAAUAAUGAGAUAAAUUCUGCUGGCCUCCACGGACUUCCGUUUUUGCACUUCCGUAUUUUUCAAACUGCAGCAGCAGCGCAGCACACAACUUCGUUCACGCUGAGUGGUCAGAAUGGCUAUUUGUACGCGUUUGCUGCUAGACCUCCCAAGAAUAAUGGUUAACGAUGUACACCGAAUCUUUCUUGCCUCGUCCGAAAUGCCAAAAUCUAGUAUGGACAAAGCUUGUAUUGUAUGUGCCCGGCUACAUACACAGCUAUGAAGGUAAGCUAACAAACUUCUGCUGUGAGUUACUAAAGAUGCUACACGCUAGCUCUCCACUAGCCUAAGUUAACACAAUAAGGAAACGUUAUUGGAGCGAUAAGUAAGGUCAUGCGUAUUUUUCGUGUCUGAAAUUAAAAAAAAAAACAGUUUUUAUGUUAUUCUCAGUUUUAAUCAUGCAGUCAGGAGAGGUCACGGUUAGGUCCGAGUGUUUCAGGUCAAUGAGGAAAAACCAGAAGCCCCACCGUCUGAGUGUAGGGAAACGUUUCCCUGCAGGUUCAGUGCAGGAUUGAUUCAGGUUCAAAAGAAGACUGUUCAUGUUUUUAAACGUCACAUUUUUGCGAGUCAUAUCAUUGCUUUUAGUUUGAUAACAGGUUAAUGACAUGCCUGAACUAUUGUGUCAUGUGGUAUCAGAGAUAAAAUGUGUCCCAGAAAGAAUAUAGUAAGUAAAGUUUGUAUAAAUAGCAUGUCACAGAAAGUCAAACAUUAGAUGACUCGCAGAAGCACAACAUUGUUUACAGUUAUUUUAUUUUUGUCCACUACUUGUUCUACUCUUCUAUUUUAAAAUGAGUUAAGUGAAGUUAAUCAUCAAUGUUUGUCUCUCCUUAAAUGCAGUUGUACUCUAACAAAUAUUCUGUGUUGUAACAGAUUGUGCUAAGGGAUUCAAAGCCGGUGGGGGUGCCAGUGUAUGUGUGGCAGGUGCAGCCUUGUGAUGUCAUGUGGCAGCUCAACUCUACCAGACGGCACAUUUCUCCUAGCUGAAACUUACAUCGGUCCCCCCCCCCCCCCCCCCCCCCCCCCCCCCCCCCCACACACACACACACACACACAGUGUUCAGCUGCACAGAAACUGAACAACAGUGGCACAAAACGGGGACCAAGGUUACAAUCUUUUAAUGAUACUAUUAUUAUGUGUAUACAUAUUUCUGUUAUAACAUUUAAACUUGUUUUUAUUUGGAAACAAGGUAUUAAACCAGGUCCAGUUAAUGACAUGGUCAUCAUAUCAGCCAGACAAAGAGAGAAGAGACCGGUAGAAUGAACAAGAAGCAGUUUGUAAAAAGGAGUCAGCUUCCCCGAUGACAGCUUCAUUCUGAAGGUGCAGGAGGCGUACCACAGACUUGGUGCAGAUGAGGCUCCGGUGAUGACAACCAUGGCUGUCUCUGGUGAUGUACCUCUGGUUGGGUCCACGUUUGGUUCGGUGCAGGAGGGAAGCGGGCCAUCUUACCAACUACCAGUGAGGACGGCCCCCAGGACGCGUCCACACAAAGACAACCCUUCUCUCCCACAACUGUCUCUCUCUCAUUAUAGACUGGGACCCUCUGCAUGUGCAUUUGUGUUUACUGAACAUCAUCAUUUCACAUCCCUCACAACAUCAUUGGGGAAAUCAUACAAAGCUGAGAACAGAACACAAUCACAGAGUUUCUGUGUGGAGGGGCACCAACUAAGGAGAUGCCACAUCACUUCUACAAAAUUUAGAUAAGUGUGUCACACCAGGGCAGAAGGUUCUGCUGAGAACCUUGUGAAACAGCCUAUGUGAACAAGUAGUCAGACUGAUGACAAAUGUUGGGGUCUUGCUUUGGAGCCUACAGCCAUCAAGGAGUACUGCAAGGUAAUAGAGGUAAACCACUACCCUUGUGGGGUCCUGAUCCACCUUGAGGCACCAUGGAUGGGUUCAACACCAGAUGGGAUUAUGUAUGAUCCUGAGGGCAGCCUGAGUGUGGCCUGCUGGAAAUAAAAUGCCUAAAUGUGUGUAGCUUUGUGGAUUAUUAUGCUCAGAAAAGGUUUACUCUCUGUGGCGAUCUCAUCCUCAUUACUGGCAGGUCGGUGUUGACUGUUGAUUUCUCCAUGUGAGUGGUGUGACUUUGUUGUUUACACCACAGAUGACAUGUUUAUUCAGCGAGUUCCCCGUGACAUGGAAGUCAUACAGACACUAUUGUAAUGUUUUCAUUGCUGUUUAAAUGUAAAGACUUACUGUGGGGGAAAUUCAAUGUAAAUCUGCAGUAAAAUUAAAUAGUUCUGCACUUU